AUUGGACGCUGGCGGCAUGCUUUACACAUGCAAGUCGAACGGUAACAGGCCUUCGGGUGCUGACGAGUGGCGAACGGGUGAGUAAUGCAUCGGAACGUACCCAGAGGUGGGGGAUAACGCAGCGAAAGCUGUGCUAAUACCGCAUGUGAUCUGAGGAUGAAAGCGGGGGACCGAGCAGCAAUGUUUGGCCUCGCGCCUUUGGAGCGGCCGAUGUCGGAUUAGCUAGUUGGUGGGGUAAAGGCCUACCAAGGCGACGAUCCGUAGCUGGUCUGAGAGGACGACCGGCCACACUGGGACUGAGACACGGCCCAGACUCCUACGGGAGGCAGCAGUGGGGAAUUUUGGACAAUGGGCGCAAGCCUGAUCCAGCAAUGCCGCGUGCGGGAAGAAGGCCUUCGGGUUGUAAACCGCUUUUGGCAGGAACGAAACGGUGUCCGCUAAUACCGGGCGCUAAUGACGGUACCUGCAGAAUAAGCACCGGCUAACUACGUG
rnacentral:rRNA from 1 species